rfam:Aedes aegypti strain Liverpool supercont1.602 genomic scaffold, whole genome shotgun sequence.
UGCCCAGCAACUCCUAUCCCUACCUCCUCGUGGUACUGGCCGGGUACGAGUAACCUUGGGGAAGAUCGGGUAACCAACCCCCGGUGGGAACUUUGGUCGUAUGCUGACAGGGAAGG